AACGCACAUUGCGCCCGCCAGUAUUCUGGCGGGCAUGCCUGUUCGAGCGUCAUUUCAACCAUCAAGCCCCCGGCUUGUGUUGGGGACCUGCGGCUGCCGCAGGCCCUGAAAAGCAGUGGCGGGCUCGCUGUCACACCGAGCGUAGUAGCAUACAUCUCGCUCUGGGCGUGCUGCGGGUUCCGGCCGUUAAACCACCUUCAUAACCCAAGGUUGACCUCGGAUCAGGUAGGAAGACCCGCUGAACUUAA
rnacentral:misc_RNA from 1 species